rnacentral:piRNA from 1 species
UACAGUAACACCGGUCGAAAA